UGCAAGUCGAGCGGACAGAAGGGAGCUUGCUCCCGGAUGUUAGCGGCGGACGGGUGAGUAACACGUGGGUAACCUGCCUGUAAGACUGGGAUAACUCCGGGAAACCGGAGCUAAUACCGGAUAGUUCCUUGAACCGCAUGGUUCAAGGAUGAAAGACGGUUUCGGCUGUCACUUACAGAUGGACCCGCGGCGCAUUAGCUAGUUGGUGAGGUAACGGCUCACCAAGGCGACGAUGCGUAGCCGACCUGAGAGGGUGAUCGGCCACACUGGGACUGAGACACGGCCCAGACUCCUACGGGAGGCAGCAGUAGGGAAUCUUCCGCAAUGGACGAAAGUCUGACGGAGCAACGCCGCGUGAGUGAUGAAGGUUUUCGGAUCGUAAAGCUCUGUUGUUAGGGAAGAACAAGUGCAAGAGUAACUGCUUGCACCUUGACGGUACCUAACCAGAAAGCCACGGCUAACUACGUGCCAGCAGCCGCGGUAAUACGUAGGUGGCAAGCGUUGUCCGGAAUUAUUGGGCGUAAAGGGCUCGCAGGCGGUUUCUUAAGUCUGAUGUGAAAGCCCCCGGCUCAACCGGGGAGGGUCAUUGGAAACUGGGAAACUUGAGUGCAGAAGAGGAGAGUGGAAUUCCACGUGUAGCGGUGAAAUGCGUAGAGAUGUGGAGGAACACCAGUGGCGAAAGCGACUCUCUGGUCUGUAACUGACGCUGAGGAGCGAAAGCGUGGGG
rnacentral:rRNA from 1 species